UGGACCCAUGAGGAUGGUGCUGUACUGGGUGAUCUCACAGGAAGCCAGGAUGGUGUGUCCUACAGCAUCUUGGGGCACUGCAGAGGGCAUGCGAGGGUGCUGCUGCAACUGAAGUGCCACAGAAAGCAGGUGAACCAGAAAUGGGACGGUGUGUUUCCUGAAGCAGGGGAUAAGUGCUGACGUAGGAACACGAGGCCCUCACAAAAAUCCCUUUCGCCAUUAGCCACCUGCAAUCCGAACACCCAGCUGCCUAAUUGGUAGUUCCUGAGCUUGGUUCUUCUAGAAAAUAUGGAACAACAAAGUAAAAUUGUUUUGCUCACUGGAGACAAACGACUGCCUCCCCAAUAAGUCAAUCUAAGAGGAAACAUGGCUGGAAUGCUGAGAAGUCAACUUGAGUAAAAAUUAUAAGAAAUUCGGUGUCCAGAUGUUCCAGAAUCCAGAUGGCCUAGGGAUCCUCUAUCACCCAGAAAGGAGGAGAAUGUUCAUGAAAGUGGAACAUUGAAAAGGAAAAGAAGUCAUUUAGCACUGGCAAAAGGAUGGCAACAUACAGGGUUCAAGAAAAAAGUUUCCUUUCCUAAAGCAUAGAACUUAAUAAAUGUGUGUUAUAGGCUCUAUCAGCAAGCCAAA